CCUACGUGAGGCAGCAGUGAGGAAUAUUGGUCAAUGGGCGCGAGCCUGAACCAGCCAAGUAGCGUGAAGGAUGACUGCCCUACGGGUUGUAAACUUCUUUUAUAAAGGAAUAAAGUGAGGCACGUGUGCCUUUUUGUAUGUACUUUAUGAAUAAGGAUCGGCUAACUCCGUGCCAGCAGCCGCGGUAAUACGGAGGAUCCGAGCGUUAUCCGGAUUUAUUGGGUUUAAAGGGAGCGUAGAUGGGUUGUUAAGUCAGUUGUGAAAGUUUGCGGCUCAACCGUAAAAUUGCAAGUGAUACUGGCAGUCUUGAGUACAGUUGAGGUAGGCGGAAUUCGUGGUGUAGCGGUGAAAUGCUUAGAUAUCACGAAGAACUCCGAUUGCGAAGGCAGCUUACUAAACUGCCACUGACAUUGAUGCUCGAAAGUGUGGGUAUCAAACAGGAUUAGAUACCCUUGUAGUC
rnacentral:rRNA from 1 species